rnacentral:rRNA from 1 species
AUUGAACGCUGGCGGCAGGCCUAACACAUGCAAGUCGAACGAGUGGCGGACGGGGGAGAAAGGUCUGGGAAACUGCCUGAUGGAAGGGGAUAACUACUGGAAACGGUAGCUAAUACCGCAUACCAUAAGAUGUGGCCAGUUGGGAUUAUCUAGUUGGGGGUGUAACGGCUCACCAAGGCGACGAUGCCUAGCUGGUCUGAGAGGAUGACCAGCCACACUGGAACUGAGACACGGUCCAGACUCCUACGGGAGGCAGCAGUGGGGAAUCUUGCGCAAUGGGCGCAAGCCUGAUGCAGCCAUGCCGCGUGUAUGAAGAAGGCUUUCGGGUUGUAAAGUACUUUCAGCGGGGAGGCGUUACCCGCAGAAGAAGCACCGGCUAACUCCGUGCCAGCAGCCGCGGUAAUAC